rnacentral:rRNA from 1 species
UUCGCAAUGCCCGAAAGGGUGACGAAGCGACGCCGCGUGUGGGAAGAAGGCCUUCGGGUUGUAAACCACUGUCGGGAGUUAAGAAAUGUAAGGAUGUUAAUAGCGUUCUUACCUGACUAAGGCUCCGGAGGAAGCCACGGCUAACUCUGUGCCAGCAGCCGCGGUAAUACAGAGGCGGCAAGCGUUGUUCGGAAUUAUUGGGCGUAAAGAGCACGUAGGCGGCUAUGUAAGUCGGUUGUGAAAGCCUUCCGCUCAACGGGAGAACAGCAGUCGAUACUGCAUGGCUUGAGUGCGGGAGGGGAGAGCGGAACUUCUGGUGGAGCGGUGAAAUGCGUAGAUAUCGGGAGGAACGCCGGUGGCGAAAGCGAUUCUCUGGUCCUUUCCUGACACUGAUGCGCGAAAGCUAGGGGAGCAAACAGGAUUAGAUACCCUGGUAGUCCUAGCUGUAAACGAUGGGCACUAAGUAGAGGGGUUUU